AACAAGCCCGAUCCCGUCUGAUCUCGGAAGCUAAGCAGGGUCGGGCCUGGUUAGUACUUGGAUGGGAGACCACCUAGGAAAACCAGGUGCUGUAGGCG
rnacentral:rRNA from 1 species